rnacentral:rRNA from 1 species
GAGUUUGAUCCUGGCUCAGGAUGAACGCUAGCGACAGGCCUAACACAUGCAAGUCGAGGGGCAGCACAGAUAGCAAUAUUGGGUGGCGACCGGCGCACGGGUGAGUAACACGUAUGCAACCUACCUACAACAUUGGGAUAACUCGUUGAAAAACGACCUAAUACCGAAUAAAACAGGGGCUCCACAUGGGGAUAUUUGUUAAAGAUUUAUCGGUUGUAGAUGGGCAUGCGUAUGAUUAGCUAGUUGGUGAGGUAACGGCUCACCAAGGCAACGAUCAUUAGGGGUUCUGAGAGGAAGGUCCCCCACAUUGGAACUGAGACACGGUCCAAACUCCUACGGGAGGCAGCAGUGAGGAAUAUUGGUCAAUGGACGAGAGUCUGAACCAGCCAAGUCGCGUGAAGGAAGACGGUUCUAUGAAUUGUAAACUUCUUUUGUACAGGAAUAAAGUGGAUUACGUGUAAUCUUUUGUAUGUACUGUACGAAUAAGGAUCGGCUAACUCCGUGCCAGCAGCCGCGGUAAUACGGAGGAUCCGAGCGUUAUCCGGAUUUAUUGGGUUUAAAGGGUGCGUAGGUGGAUUGGUAAGUCAGUGGUGAAAGUUUGCAGCUUAACUGUAAAAUUGCCAUUGAAACUGUCAGUCUUGAGUGCAAAUGAGGUAGGCGGAAUGUGUUGUGUAGCGGUGAAAUGCUUAGAUAUGACACAGAACUCCAAUUGCGAAGGCAGCUUACUGGGAUGCAACUGACACUGAGGCACGAAAGCGUGGGUAUCAAACAGGAUUAGAUACCCUGGUAGUCCACGCAGUAAACGAUGAAUACUAGCUGUUUGCGAUAUACAGUAAGCGGUACAGCGAAAGCGUUAAGUAUUCCACCUGGGGAGUACGUUCGCAGAUGAAACUCAAGGAAUUGACGG